rnacentral:rRNA from 1 species
AUUGAACGCUGGCGGCAGGCCUAACACAUGCAAGUCGAGCGGAUGAAGGGAGCUUGCUCCUGGAUUCAGCGGCGGACGGGUGAGUAAUGCCUAGGAAUCUGCCUGGUAGUGGGGGAUAACGUCCGGAAACGGGCGCUAAUACCGCAUACGUCCUGAGGGAGAAAGUGGGGGAUCUUCGGACCUCACGCUAUCAGAUGAGCCUAGGUCGGAUUAACUAGUUGGUGGGGUAUAGGCCUACCAAGGCGACGAUCCGUAACUGGUCUGAGAGGAUGAUCAGUCACACUGGAACUGAGACACGGUCCAGACUCCUACGGGAGGCAGCAGUGGGGAAUAUUGGACAAUGGGCGAAAGCCUGAUCCAGCCAUGCCGCGUGUGUGAAGAAGGUCUUCGGAUUGUAAAGCACUUUAAGUUGGGAGGAAGGGCAGUAAGUUAAUACCUUGCUGUUUUGACGUUACCAACAGAAUAAGCACCGGCUAACUUCGUG